rnacentral:rRNA from 1 species
UAUUUAUAUGAGAGUUUGAUCCUGGCUCAGGAUGAACGCUGGCGGCGUGCCUAAUACAUGCAAGUCGAACGAGUUUUGG